AUUACCUGUCCAUCUGACCUGUUUCUGUAAAUCUGAACAACCUAACCAACAUAACUAUAGAAAUGACAAGCAUGGGUGACUAUAAAUCUGUAAACCUUAUCUACCUAAAUAACCUAAGGACCAAGGAUUCACAUUAACAAGAGUGGUUUCUCAGAAGUUUGUGUGGCUGGAAGCGCUGCUGGAGGACACAGAAGUUACAAGGAGAAGAUUAUUAAACACCUGCUGUAUGAAACUACACUUCAUUCCCACACCUGCUGAAACACCUGGUUCCCUGCUUGGGGACAGAGGCACAGAGAGCCCACUUUAAUGAGUUACCUCUUUUGAUUUGAGUCUGAAGAAAAUUUACUAUAGUGGGGGAAAAUUUUCAUAAGUCUUAAGAAAAAUUAUAGCCUGUUAGAUGGAAUAUCAUUUGGCUCAUCUGAACAGAGGUUCAUAUCAUCCACGAAUGGCUGCAUAGUGGUUAUUUUAAUAAUAUUUCCUUUUUUAUUUAUUUUUCUUUGUUUUGUGUUCUUUUUGUUUAUUUAUACCUUCUAUAGCCCAAGCUGCGUUGGAACUCACUAUAUAGCUCAUGUUGGCUUCUAACUCAUGGAAAUCCUUCUGUCUUAUCCUCCAGUGUCUUGAGGUUAUAGUCAUAAGCCAUUGUGCUUUAAUAUUCUUUCUGCUUUUAUUAGAUUUUUUCUCAAUUUUCUAUAAUUAAUAUCAAUGUAUCUUCUAAUGAGGAAAAGUUUUUUUUUAAUAUCAUAUUUUAAGGAAGUGGAGAGAUGGCUCAGCUGCUGAGAAUGUUUGCUGCUCUUGUGGAAGACCCGAGUUUAGUUCCCAGCACCCAUGUAGGGUGGUUCACAGCCACCUGUAGCUCCAGCUCCAGGAGAUCCAACCUCCUCUUCUGGCCUCUGCAGGUACCCACAUGCUCAUACCCACACACAAUUACACGCACAAACAUAUAAAUAAAAAUAGAGCAAACCUCUAAGAAAUAAAUUACAAUUUAAGCAUCUCCUACCUUAAAGGAUUAUAAAAUAGCAAUCAAUUUUGUAAGAUAUUUCAUAGGAGAGUACUGUCUUGUCGUAAUGAUUUCCCGACAGGAGGCUUUCAUUACAGAGAGAUGAAAGCAUGUGUGAGGCAUUCUGUCUCCUGGCAACUACCCUUCCCCCCAAAAUGAAGGUGGAGACAGAUUUCUUCCCUAAGUGUCUCUCUGGAAGUCUUCGCUCUGUCCCAGUCGGGCGGCACUGCUGUUGCCUGGUUCCAAGGGAUAUUUUCAAAUCAUAGAGAUUCAAGUUUGUUGAAGUCUGGACUCACCCUGGGUAUGUACCAGCAGAUUCAUUAGAAGAAGGUGAUGUAGCAGGCAAGUUUGGGAUGGCUCUUGCAUAAACCAUUGCACAGGGACUCUUAACAAGUUCAGUGAUGACCUAAUUACUGUACUCUGUAGGUAACUUGCUCAUUUUUAAAAAUUCUAAAGAUAUUUAUUGCAUGCAAAAACUAAAAAAAAUAUAAGUGAUGAAAAAUUGGUUUCCUUCUCACUUUACUCUUGAUUCUUCAGGUUUUCCAACUGUAAUCAACAUUUGAUUAAUAGGUCCUCAACAUUCUCUCUCCUACUCAUCUGUAUAUGUGUCUACGUGCUUAUGUGUGCAUACAGAUAUGCAUCUACUAUACAUGCAGGAUAAACUCCAAGAAACCGAAUUCUUCAACACUGGAGAAUAAAGCGAUACGUGUGACCAUGAGAUAGAUAGAAGAAUAAAGGCAAACAAAAUGGUGAAAAAUAAGAUCUAAAUGGAAACUUGUCAAAACAGAGAGAAACUUUACAGCAAAGUACAGGUUUUGGGUUCCAAUAGGACUGGAAGGAAAAUAGCAGCUUCCCUGAAGACAGGACUUUAUUUGUUUUGAAAUACAGACUUCCAAGCCACCUUUGUACAAGCUGGUUUUCUCAAUAUUUGGAAACAGCUGCAGGAAGCGUUCCCUAAGUCCACGCUGAUGACAUGGCAUGUUUUGUUUCUUUCCUCUGUCGUUCUGAAGGAAGAAAAGCAAAGUUUCUUUCACUUGAUUAUUCUUUUUUAAUUAAAAAAAUUGAGAUCA